rnacentral:rRNA from 1 species
GAUGAACGCUGGCGGCGUGCCUAAUACAUGCAAGUCGAACGGUCGGACGGGAAGCUUGCUUCCUUGAUGUUAGCGGAGGGCGGGUGAGUAACGUGAGGAUAACGUACCUGUAAGAGGGGGAUGACUUCGGGAAGCCGGCGCUAAUACCGGAUGAUCUUUUGAACCGCCUGCAUCAACAGUGAAAGACGGUCUUGCUGUAACAUAUCGCUGGCUCCGCGCUGCCUUAGCUAGUUGGUACGGUAACGGCUUACCAAGGCAACGAUGCAUAGCCGACCUGAUAGGGGGAUCGCCCACCCUGGAGCGGGAACACGGACCAGACGCCUAAGGGAGGCAGCAGAAUGGAAUCGGCCGCAAUGGGCGAAAGCCUGACGCAGCAGCGCCGAGUGAGAGAUGAAGGCCUCGGGAGCGUAACAACGUGUUAUGAGUGAAGAACAUAUGUGUAAGUAACUGUGCAGAUCGUGACGGUACCUAAACAGAAAGCCACGGCUAACUACGUG